rnacentral:rRNA from 1 species
CCAAUAGCGUAUAUUAAAGUUGUUGUGGUUAAAAAGCUCGUAGUUGAACCUUGGGCCUGGCUGGCCGGUCCGCCUCACCGCGUGUACUGGUCCGGCCGGGCCUUUCCCUCUGUGGAACCCCAUGCCCUUCACUGGGCGUGGCGGGGAAACAGGACUUUUACUGUGAAAAAAUUAGAGUGCUCCAGGCAGGCCUAUGCUCGAAUACAUUAGCAUGGAAUAAUAGAAUAGGACGUGUGGUUCUAUUUUGUUGGUUUCUAGGACCGCCGUAAUGAUUAAUAGGGACAGUCGGGGGCAUCAGUAUUCGAUUGUCAGAGGUGAAAUUCUUGGAUUUAUUGAAGACUAACUACUGCGAAAGCAUUUGCCAAGGAUGUUUUCAUUAAUCAGGAACGAAAGUUAGGGGAUCGAAGACGAUCAGAUACCGUCGUAGUCUUAACCAUAAACUAUGCCGACUAGGGAUCGGACGGUGUUAUUUUUUGACCCGUUCGGCACCUUACG